UUCAUCCGACCAAGGAGUAUUGGCAGUCCCACUACCGAGCAUUCUUGGGUGUCUGAUAGUAGGUUGCUGACUAACAACAUCAACUAAAGUUGGAAUUUUGCUAGGACCAACUCAUGCUAUUCGACCAUUUUGUUACCUAUUUGUGCAUAUGUUUGAUCUUUUGAAGAAUCAGUGUUUGAAUUUUUUGAUGUUAGCAACUUUCUGUAAUGAUAAUUUGGACAUCAUAGAUCUAUGUAAUGGAUUAUUGUAUGUAUUGACAAAUUUAUAUUUAUAAUUAGAAGCAUUUGGAUGUUCUUCACUUGCAA